AAUAGGUAUAUAUAAAAAAAAAAAAAAUAAUAAUAAUAAUAAAAAUAAUAAUAAAAAAAUAAAUAAGAAAUAGGUAUAUCUAGGCCAGUUACUCACUGUCAAGCAUUUUUUAGACUGGUGUCUCUCAUGGCAGCUGUGUCCAACGUAGUUACUUUUGGCCUUUUGUACAUGAGAACCAUGCAGUGAUGGCUCAGGACCAAGGGGUUUUCUCCGAGGAGAAAACGUUUCGCAUGAUCAAGGUCACGCGGCUUUGCCUUCGUGCUUCGGUCAUGUCGAAGAACCUUGGUCCCUCACCCAAGCCCAGUUUGGGGGCUUCUUGUCGACGCAUAAUGCUAUCGACGGAUGCUUCCCUCACAAGAUGGGGGUGAUCAUGAGUGGUCGCUCGGCGAAUGGUACUUGGCAGGACCAUCUACCUUUUAGCACAUAAUUGGCUAAAAGUGAUGGCGGUAUUCCCGAAAAUCUCAAUACUUCAUGCCAGACCCUAGAGGUCACUAUGUGUUUGUCCUUUCGGAUAAAACACUGAUGGUCUCGUAUAUCAGAGCAGAUAUCCUGUUGAGGCAGGGGCUUAGGCCCAGGGAAUGGAGAUCGAGGUGGUGGAGCUUCUUAGGGAGAACUAAAGUCAAACUAAAGUCAGUCGACAUUUCACAUCGUUGGUACAACGCAUUGCUCUAUUUGGUUCUCCCUCACACAUCCAGCUCUGCUUGGACUGGAUGUGAUGUAUUAGGUGUGGUUAACACUACACCGGUAUGCAUUUCCUGAUAUCUUUGCUCCUGGGAGUUCACCCUCAUUUGGAGUUUGGAUACUGUGGCUUGGCCACUUAGGGGGCCCGGCUCAAAGAAUCCUGUCUCUCGACUGAGGUCGUUGGGACCAUUCUCCAAUCCAGAGCUCCUUCCACGAGAUAAACUAUGCAUUAAAAUGGAAAUUAUUCUCCAUCUGGUGUGGGGAACAUCACCAAGAUCCUGUUAACUGCCCUGUUGGUACAGUUCUUGAUUUCUUGCAAGACCGUUUCUCUGCUGGAUUAUCUCCUGCUACCUUAAAGGUUUACGUGGUGGCUAUAUCGGCCUACCAUACCCCUCUGGGGGGUACUUCUAUCGGGAAUGAUCCUCUAAUUACUAGUUUUUCUCGGUGGUACAUCAGGUUGAAACCUGCACUGCACUCAGAGCACCGGCUUGGGAUUUGGCCAUUGUACUUGAGGGUCUGGCUUUGGCUCCCUUUGAGCCCAUUGAAGAGGUUUCAGAAAAGUUCCUCACUUUGAAAACAUUUCUCCUUGCUGUUUCAUUUACCGGAGAUUUGCAUGCCCUGUCGGUUGCCAUCUUUAAUUUAUAUAAAGAGUGCUUCAUAUUCUCUUUUAAUCUCUCUUUCUCUCUCUCUCUCUCUCUCUCUCUCUCUCUCUCUAUAUAUAUAUAUAUAUAUAUAUAUUUAUAUACCCUACUAUAUAUAUGUACACCCUACAGAUGUCUUGAAAUUGCUUACAUUAGCAAAAUGGUAUAAAAAAAAGCAUAAUUGUCAAGUGAAUGAGAACUACAAUGAGUUUUAAAUUCAUUAUUUAAAAUUAAAGAUAUUUAAAUUGUUAAAUGUUAUAAAUCUAGAUGUUUAUUUAAAUGCUGCGUGCCUUUUGACGGUUUUGGGCGUACGUGCGCGUAUAAACAUUGAGUCGCAAAAGCUAUCUGACUCAAAGACAGGAACGCGCGCGAGCACGAGCAGAUGGAAACCAUGGAAACGAGGAAACCUCAUCAACUGACAAACAGCAAGACUAGCGUCUCUCACUGUUGUUUUCUCUGCUUUCAGAAGAUCAUCUGAUUGCCUGCUGCACCCCCUGUCCAAGACAAUCUCCACGGCUAUGAACUCGACUAGUAAGCAAAACUUCAAACAUCCACACUCAGUACAUAAGGAAGGUUUUCUGGGAUCCACAGCGGAAGGGAUCAAGGCAUGAGAUGUUGGCUUGGACAGAUGUACCUGUACACCACACCGACCUCUGCUUUUGCAUGGAUGGCUGAUUACUAUCAUGUUCUGUAUAAGUUUUAUAAUAGCAAAACAGAGCACCUGUGACAGUGGAAUCUGUAGGUGUAAAGUAGUCAGACAUCAGUACAUUUAAAGUCACAGAGAGAAAGUUUUUUUUUUUUUUAUAGAAGUUUUAAAGUUUUUUGACACCAUUAUACACCAAGAAAUGUGCAUAAUUGGCCAAAGUGUUACUGUUUAUCAACAAAAAUUUGACAAAAAACAACAACAAAAAACAAAUAUUAUAGCAUGUGAAUAUACAGUAUAGUAGUGUAAUUU